CACAAGCGGUGGAGCAUGUGGUUAAUUCGAAGCAACGCGAAGAACCUUACCAGGUCUUGACAUCCCGAUGCUAUUCUAGAGAUAGAAAGUUACUUCGGUACAUCGGUGACAGGUGGUGCAUGGUUGUCGUCAGCUCGUGUCGUGAGAUGUUGGGUUAAGUCCCGCAACGAGCGCAACCCCUAUCGUUAGUUGCCAUCAUUCAGUUGGGCACUCUAGCGAGACUGCCGGUAAUAAACCGGAGGAAGGUGGGGAUGACGUCAAAUCAUCAUGCCCCUUAUGACCUGGGCUACACACGUGCUACAAUGGUUGGUACAACGAGUUGCGAGUCGGUGACGGCGAGCUAAUCUCUUAAAGCCAAUCUCAGUUCGGAUUGUAGGCUGCAACUCGCCUACAUGAAGUCGGAAUCGCUAGUAAUCGCGGAUCAGCACGCCGCGGUCGAAUACGUUCCCGGGCCUU
rnacentral:rRNA from 1 species